UACGUAGGGGGCUAGCGUUGUCCGGAAUCAUUGGGCGUAAAGCGCGUGUAGGCGGUCCGGUAAGUCCGCUGUGAAAGUCGGGGGCUCAACCCUCGAAUGCCGGUGGAUACUGUCGGGCUAGAGUGCGGAAGAGGCGAGUGGAAUUCCUGGUGUAGCGGUGAAAUGCGCAGAUAUCAGGAGGAACACCGGUGGCGAAGGCGGGUCUCUGGGCCGAUAUUGACGCUGGAGGAGCGAAAGCGUGGGGAGCGAACAGGA
rnacentral:rRNA from 1 species